UGAAGCAAUGUGUUCAAACCAGCAACAAAGAGCAGUGUCUGGAUCACUUGGGCCUUCUCCUUAUUUCCACCUCCCAUUUGGGGAACAAGGGCAGUGGGAAUAAGAACAGUUGUCCCGAGCAUCACAAGAUAGUGCUGGAAACCAAGCAGGAUAGCCUCAGGCCAUGGGGGGGGACUGGUUAUGCAAUAAGAAAUGUUUGGAAGCUGCUCCUUUGGUGGUGGGUGUGGCUGCGGCUCCGCUGCCUUUCCACCACCAGCUCCUCCAACUCCAGCCAUGAAUCUUCACACUCUAAAAAUCUCUCUCUCUCUCUCUCUCUCUCUC
rnacentral:misc_RNA from 1 species